CCUGCCAAUUCUUCGUGAACCUAUUCCCUUCGCCUUUUCCCUCGCAGUAUCGGCCGAACACGUGAUCUCUGAAACUCAGUAUAUUGGCCGGC
rnacentral:lncRNA from 1 species